UCACGGGUGGUCUAGUGGUUACGAUGCCUACCUUUCAUUUUAUGAUAUCGUGGGUGACCGAGGUUCGAGUCCUCGCCUGUGGC